UCAUUUCAUUAUUUAAAAAGGUUUCUUUUGCUGCUGCUGACUCCUUCCUUCCCUCACAUGCUGCUUAUCUGGGUGAAGAAUCAUGGCUGGAAUUUAUAAAUGCUUCUCUGUUGUGCAAAGGAGCUUUGAUAGCAAGAAAAGAAUAACAGGACAAUGAUUGCUGUCUGAACAGGCUGGCCCUGUAGAGACAGGUUUCAAGUGGCAGCUGUGUGGGAUACAGGCAGCAUGUGGAAUACAGGGCUUGAAGGAUGCUCAGCACCCAACAUGACAAGAUUCUGUUUUUUUUUUUUGACUUUGGCUGGGCGCUUUGUCGGCAGUGCUUUCUCCCAGUGAAUGACGAGCAGGAGGAAAACCUGGAUAUCCAUCUUGCCAGGCUGCCACAGAGGGCCAGGCAGGCUGUGCUCAGUUGCUGUGCUCUGUGGUGCUCAGCCCCACCAGGGUCUGUCACCUCAUGCUUGGGCUGAGGCUAAGGCCAGGCUUAAAAUAUAUACCCCUUAGACACUGCCUUCUUAUCCAACCUGGUUUUUAAUUUUCUUUGCUGUAGUUUCAAUUGAGUUUGUCCAAAUGGUCAAAAAGCACUCCCAGGGGCUCCUUCAGGGGUUUCAGAUGGUUUAUUUUUGAAGAGUACUUUCUCACUCACAUUGACAUGAGACAUGCAAAGGUAAUGUGGUCCUCUUCCUUUCUGUCUUUUUUUUCCCCAGCAUGUAGGAACUCGUUAUCGGUUUCACUGUGCAGAUGAAACUAUGUCUUGAGCAACCUCUAUAAAUGUCACAGGAAUGGUUUUUUCUAGUGUUUACCAAGAACAUAUUAUGUUUUAGUGUCUCUAUCAUAAAUACCUUUUUGUUAAUUUUUCACCCUCACUAAAUCUAUUACAAGCUUUAAUCAACCUUUCUAAGCAGUAAUAAAAUGUUAUCAGCAGUUGGCAAAGAUCCUAAGUGACAGGCCCUAAUGUUUUCUAAUGAUUGUCAUUAUUUAAAAGGUGGUUUGUAGUUUUACAAAAAAUAAUUAGAUCUAUCACAUACAUUUGAAGAGAGGGGAGUGUUACUCCUUGGAUAGUUUACUCUCAAGAAUUGUAAUUUGUAAAUAAUUACUUAAAAAGAAAUAAACCCACAAGCUAGAGCUGAAUGGAAAUUCAAGAUCUAUUUAAGCAAAUGUAGGCAGAAGAGAGCAUGCUUUAUGCUUAAAAGGCAAGAUAUUCCUCAGGUGAAUGCAUACAGUUCAAAUUUUUCACCUACAGGUCAACAGGACCAGAAGUCUGAAUUUCUAAGUCUACAGCACCUUAUCAUCUUGCUACAUUGUUACAGACACAAAAAUAGGCUUUGUGAAACUAUUACUUUGUAUUAUGCAAAUUACUUUUCCUUUUAAGAAACAGUCAAUACUGUUUUACUUACAUGAAAUGUUUCUGCAACUGGAGAAGUGAAAGGUUUGAAAUAAAUGAAGGUGAGAAUUUCUGGUCUCCUUAAAGUUUAAAGAUUUUGGGUUUGUUUCUUUAAAUUUGUUUUAUUUUGUUUUGUUUGGUUAGGUUUGGUUUAUAAGGGAAUAUCAUCCAAACACUAUGAUCUGGAUGAAUUUCAGUAUUGAUGUAUUCAAACAAGAUACAUUUCCAUGAAUUCUCAAUGGUGUGACUAUAUUUUAGUUCUUACUGUCCUGAUCCAGGUUGUUGCUGAAUCUGGAGAAGAUGCAGCCCUAGGCUUAGUACGAGAUAAAUUUGGUAUGUGGUCCACAAGUGGUGUUCAGUCAGCCGUCCCACACCUCCUGUCUCAUCACUGUGAUGCAGCAGCUUCCUGCCUCCAGGUUCUGCUGUGUCCCUGAAGCCACAGAAGUUUUUACCGCACCCCUGGUACAGCCCUUGGGCUUUAAGAGGACCACAGCUGGGAUCUAUGCUUGGGCAGCAGUCCAAUGACAUCUUCUUCUUCCCUUUUUGUUUUCUCUCCUGUUGUAUGACCCCCAGAUGUGUGCCAGUAAAGAAAGGCCACCUAUUAAGCAGCACAGCAAACAAUCACAGUGAAUAAAUCUACAGUACUCCCAGAUACUUGCUGGUGUCACAAAACUGAAAUCCUCACCAGCACCAGGCUGGGAAUGUUUUAUAGUUUAAUGUUGUUUCAUGCCCAGUGAAUGCUCACUGCUGACCUGCUUUCAGAGGGUGUAAAAAACAUCUGUGCAGGUGUUUAGGUCUUAUGGAUGUGUUCCCAGAUGCAAGCACACACACACACAGAUCCAC
rnacentral:lncRNA from 1 species